rnacentral:rRNA from 1 species
AUGGCCGCGGCCGCGCCAUCCCGCCACCGCCCCGAGGGACCUCCCUCGGAGGAGGAGGCGGCGAGGGACUGGGCGGGGCUGCCGGGGGACGCGCUGCUGGCGGUGCUCCACAGGCUAGACCACGUCGACGUCCUCAUGGGGGCCGGCCAGGUGUGCAGCCCCUGGCGCUGCGCGGCGCGGAACGAGCCGGAGCUGUGGCGCCGCGUCGAGGUGCGCUCCCACGCCGACCGCCGAUCUCACGUCGCGGCGCCCUCCCGCGCCAGACGCCACUCCUGCUCCGUCCUCUGUGGGCUGGCGCGCGCCGCCGUCAGGCGUGCCGCGGGGCAGUGCGAGGCCUUCUGCGGCGAGGGCGCCGUGGACGACAGCGUCCUCUCCCUCCUUGCCGACUCGGCGCCUUCGCUGAAGAGCCUCCGGAUCAUCUCCGGCGACAGGAUCGUCGACGAGAGGCUCAGCCUCACCAUCACGAACUUCUCCCUGCUGGAGGAGCUGGAGCUCUCGCUUUGCACCGACGUCUACCCGGGGACGUGCGAGGCCGUCGGCACCGCCUGCCCUCUCCUCAAGCGCUUCCGUCUGAGCAAGAAGCAGUUCUGCAAGUGGAACACCAAGAACAUCGACCAGGAGGCCAUGGCCAUCGCCACCAUGGGCGGGCUGCGGUCGCUUCAGCUCUUCGCCAACCCUCUCAGCGACGACGGGCUGGCGGCCAUCCUUGACGGAUGCCCGCGCCUCGAGUCUCUCGACAUCCGCCACUGCUUCAACGUUGGGAUGGGCGCUGCUGCGAUCCGAGCACGGUGUCCUGGGAUCAAGACGCUGAGGCUGCCGGAUGACUCCACGAUCGAUUACGAUCUGAAGUUUUCUCCCCCGGAUAUGACCCCGUGGAACACCCAGGAUGAGCAUCAAUGUGAUUGGCACGAGUUGGUCUAUUUCAGUUCAUGGUAG